rnacentral:rRNA from 1 species
CCUACGGGAGGCAGCAGUAGGGAAUAUUGCUCAAUGGGGGAAACCCUGAAGCAGCAACGCCGCGUGGAGGAUGAAGGUUUUCGGAUUGUAAACUCCUUUUGUUAGAGAAGAUAAUGACGGUAUCUAACGAAUAAGCACCGGCUAACGCCGUGCCAGCAGCCGCGGUAAUACGGAGGGUGCAAGCGUUACUCGGAAUCACUGGGCGUAAAGAGCGCGUAGGCGGGAUAGCAAGUCAGAUGUGAAAUCCUAUGGCUUAACCAUAGAACUGCAUUUGAAACUGUUAGUCUAGAGUAUGGGAGAGGUAGGUGGAAUGCUUGGUGUAGGGGUAAAAUGCGUAGAGAUCAAGAAGAAUACUCAUUGCGAAGGCGGCCUGCUAGAACAUAACUGACGCUGAUGCGCGAAAGCGUGGGGAGCAAACAGGAUUAGAUACCCGUGUAGUC